CAGUUAGGAAAUUACUAUUUGAGUUCUGAUGCUGCUGUGAUUUCUCAAAAAUCAGUGGGAACAAACCAAUCCAUAUAAAAUACUAUGUUUUUUUGGUCUCCUUUGCAAUUUUAUAUACAAAUCAAGACAGAUGAAUGAACAUAAAUUCUCAGUUUUGUCUAUUCCCUCAAAAAGUAAACUGCUCCUUUAAAAAAAUUAUUCACAGCUAAUAACCUUUAGGAACAUGUUUUAUACCACAUAACUCUUUUUUAAUUAAAGCAAGUGCCUUGAUGCCAUUCCAUAUAAAUCAGGCUUAACCUAUGGGAUUGGGAUGAGUUGAUGGGUUGCAGCCUGUUGUGGGAGGUGGGGAUAGGGGUUGGUUAAUAGCAACUGUUUUUCUUUUGGGAGCAUAUAUUCAUGUUUAUUAUGUAAGAUACUAUAUGUGUUGAGAUCUAGAGGUGUCAUUUCAUUUCUGAUAAUAAACUGUUAUGCUAAUAAAAUACUACUCUGUGUCUAAAUUAUUUAAGUACAACUAAGAAAUGCACGUAGGUUACCAGUGAGCUUUGGAAUACCAUUGCUUUACAUUUGGAGAGUGAUUCAGUCAUUAAUUUUUCCCAACUAUAACAAGAGGAUCUGUCCUUAUAGAAGGACAUAAUGCAUAAAGAAAUGCAUUUCUUUUUUUUCCUUUUUUUUUUUUUUUUUUGCUUGUUGUCCUGAGUGAGUACAUUAAUCCUUCAGGAACUCAAUUUUUUCAUCAAUGAAGUGGGGAGGAGCACAAGAUUGCUUGAGGACCUGUCCAGUUCUCAUGUUGCAUGACUACUAUUCUGUAUGUUUUGGGAAUCAGAAAACCCCAAACUGGCUCAUGUUUUACUACUCCUAACUCUGAAUUUUGGUAAGUGAAUUUUGAGCCAUCUUUUCGCCAUCAGUAAGUUGAAGCUGCCACCUUGUACGCAGGUAAAGGAGUUGGACUAAAUGGUCUUCGAAGGGCCCUUCGAAUUUUACCAUCCUGUAUACUCACCAUGUGUGCACACAGCACGUGGGACCCGGAGCCGUGUGUGGUGCCUCAACACACUCAUUCUCUGGCAUCUCUCCAGCUACCUUGGAGGGCUCUGCUUCCCCAUCUCCUUUCAGUGCUUGUGUCCUUGGCCUCUUCUCUCCUCAUUUAGUACCAUUGCUUAAGCUUUGGAUUUUUAGAUCUGAUUGAGCCUGAUGAAAGUAUGGCUUUUCUUGGAGAAGUAACACAUUUGUAUGUAUACACACACACGAUUUAUAUAGAGGCUGGUUCAUGGCCCCCCAUGUCAUGAAUACUUUGCAUUAUAAGCUCUCUCCAGAUGACUACAUCCAUGGCCUCAAUUGAUUUGUUAUCUGUGUGCUGAUGGCAGCCAAACAUGAUUUCUAGCCUCUCUAGAACACCAGCCAGCAUAUCUGUCUGUACAUAAAUCUCCAGAGCUGUCCAGUAACAGCUGGAUGCCCAGAAGCACCUCACAUAGAAUACAAACUCAUCUUCUCUUCCCCUGUUAACGCCAUCUUGAUCAUGGCAUGACUCAGCAACUCAAUCCAGAAACUUGGAAGAUUUUAGAAUAUUCCUCUUCACAUUCAUCUACCUGGUAAGACUCUCAAGUCAAACAUCUUUCUUGCCCUCAGUGUUCAUUUAUCUUCAGGACUAUGCCACAGUCUACCUAGUUAAUCUAUUUCUCUACAACUCAGCCUCCACACUAGUUACCGAUUAUUUCUUUAAAAAAAGAAAAAAAAAAAAGACCUUUGUUACUUCUAAGUGGUUCUCCAGUGUUUCCAGAGUAAGUUCAGAAUCAAUGCUAUAGCCAAUAAGACCUUAAAAAGUUUGCCCUUGGGUACCUGGGUGACUCAGUUGUUAGGUGUCUGCCUUUGGCUCAGGUCGUGAUCUCAGGGUCCUGGGAUUGAGCCCCCGCAUUGGGCUGCCUGUUCAGCAGGAGGCCUACCUCUCCCUCUCUCACUCCCCCUGCUUGUGUUCCCUCUCUCUGCGUCUUUCUCUGUUAAAUAAAUAAGAUCUUUAAAAAAAAAAAAAAAAAAAAAAACCCAAAUAAAAAAAAGUUGCUCUUGCUUACAUCUUCAGCAUCUUGUCCUGUCACACAUCCCUUUGCUUGACCAAUAAACCUCUGACCUUAGGUGAUCCCAAAUGGGCCAUUUUAAAAUGUCCAGGCCUUUAUAUAUGCUGUUCUUUCUUCCAGGAACAGCCUCCCAGCCCCAUAUGUGUAAACGUCUCUACUCUUUCCAAAUACUUCUUACUAAAAGUCCCUUGCUCUUGGCAACAUUUCCUAUUGAAUUCCUCUUCUCUCAUGCUGAGUCUCCUUUGGACCUCAUCUCAGCAUAUUCUCUCAAAUGGCGUUUACCACUCUAUCAUUUUUCCUUCUCCAUCUCAUCUGCUAACUGGACUCCCUGAGGUUAGGGCUGUGCAUUUCAUCCUUAGAGCCUCUGUGGCCAGCAGUGGGUAUCAGUUCCAAGCAUGGAUAUGUUUGGUGGAUAUUUAUUUCUCUAAAACUGGUUCAUUUACAGAGCAUGUCUGUCUUGGGUCAAUUACAUGGCCUGUGGUUAUCAAUACGUUGGAAAAAGUCCCUGGUGAAGGGAUAGGUGUGUAAUGGGGUUGGAUUAGGUGGUCCAAGGCACAGUUGUUUCUUAGAUAGUUGCCUGAACAAGAUUCACAUUCUAUGUCUUUUCUAUCUUUCCUUGUUUUCCUUUUCAGUCUCUACCUUGUCAGAGAAUUUAAACAUGGCUGCUUCUAAGUGUUCCUGGUUGGCCCAGUUGUGUCUAUUGUGUAAUCUCUCUCUGCCCUCUGGUGGCCAGAAUAUGCUACCACAUUUCACCUCAAAGAAGUAUGGCCUCUGGUAGCAUGAACAGUUAAUAGGCAUUUGGGAGCCACCACAGACACUUGGACGGGGGAAAUGGCAUGAUGUCAAGAGAUUUAACAUUAUGUGCCAAAUGCACUUCAGGGGAAGAAAGUGAGUGGGAGUAUUCGGAUGGCCGGCUGGCUGAAGAGAGAAGUACUAGGAUCCAGCUAGACCAGUGGUUCUCAAAGUAAGGAUCCUGGACCACAUUAGCCAUCAGCAGGACCUGAGAACUUGUUAGAAAUGCAAAUUUUGGGGCCCCACCUAAUACCCACUGAAUCAGAAAACUGGAGGUGGAGCCCAGCAAUCUGGAUUUUAGCAAGCCUUUCAAGUGAUUCUGAAGUGAGUUAACAUUUGGAAACCACUGAGCUAGACUUACUGGUAAGAAGUUGGCUUCCUACCGUGUGCUUGAUUUUCCUUUGGCCAAAUCAGCAAUUCCCAAAUUUUUCUGCACAUUGGAAUGACCUGGGCAGUUUCACAAACUACUAAUGCCUGUGACCUAUAACCACAGAUUGUGAUUUAAUUGGUCUGGGAUAAGGCCUGGGCUUUAGAAAUUUUUUUUAAAGAUGCUCAAGAGAUCCUAAGGUGCAGACA